rnacentral:tRNA from 1 species
GGUCGGGUAGCUUAGUGGUAGAGCAAUCGCCCUGCAAGCGAGAGACCCGAGUUCGAUUCUCGGUCCGGCGG